rnacentral:rRNA from 1 species
AUUGAACGCUGGCGGCAGGCCUAACACAUGCAAGUCGGACGGUAGCACAGAGGAGCUUGCUCCUCGGGUGACGAGUGGCGGACGGAUGAGUAAUGUCUGGGGAUCUGCCCGAUAGAGGGGGAUAACCACUGGAAACGGGGGCCAAUACCGCACAAAGUCGCAAGACAAAAGAGGGGGACCUUCUGGCCUCUGACUAUCGGACGAACCCAGAUGGGAUUAGCUAGUAGGCGGGGUAAUGGCCCACCUAGGCGACGAUCCCUAGCUGGUCUGAGAGGAUGACCAGCCACACUGGAACUGAGACACGGUCCAGACUCCUACGGGAGGCAGCAGUGGGGAAUAUUGCACAAUGGGCGCAAGCCUGAUGCAGCCAUGCCGCGUGUAUGAAGAAGGCCUUCGGGUUGUAAAGUACUUUCAGCGGGGAGGAAGGCGGUGAGGUUAAUAACCUUGCCGAUUGACGUUACCCGCAGAAGAAGCACCGGCUAACUCCGUGCCAGCCGCCGCGGUAA